UGGGGAGUACGGGCGGCCUAUCAGCUUGUUGGUGAGGUAAUGGCUCACCAAGGCGACGACGGGUAGCCGGCCUGAGAGGGUGACCGGCCACACUGGGACUGAGACACGGCCCAGACUCCUACGGGAGGCAGCAGUGGGGAAUAUUGCACAAUGGGCGCAAGCCUGAUGCAGCAACGCCGCGUGAGGGACGACGGCCUUCGGGUUGUAAACCUCUUUUGGCAGGGAAGAAGCGGGCUGUUUGUUCAGACGUGACGGUACCUGCAGAAAAAGCACCGGCUAACUACGUGCCAGCAGUCGCGGUAAUACGUAGGGUGCAAGCGUUGUCCGGAAUUAUUGGGCGUAAAGAGCUCGUAGGCGGUUUGUCGCGUCUGCUGUGAAAACGCGAGGCUCAACCUCGCGCCUGCAGUGGGUACGGGCAGACUAGAGUGCGGUAGGGGAGAUUGGAAUUCCUGGUGUAGCGGUGGAAUGCGCAGAUAUCAGGAGGAACACCGAUGGCGAAGGCAGAUCUCUGGGCCGUUACUGACGCUGAGGAGCGAAAGCGUGGGGAGCGAACAGGAUUAGAUACCCUGGUAGUCCACGCCGUAAACGUUGGGAACUAGAUGUGGGGUCCAUUCCACGGAUUCCGUGUCGCAGCUAACGCAUUAAGUUCCCCGCCUGGGGAGUACGG
rnacentral:rRNA from 1 species